CUUAAUAAUGUUAUAGAUAAAGUUAUGACUCUAACUCGAAGAAGGGAAAAAUAUCUUGUUGUUGCUGCUGUUCGAUUUGUUCGCAAUAUUCUUUCUCGCCAUGAUGAGCAUCUGAUAAAUCAUUUUGUCAAGCGCAACGUUCUCAAACCGAUUAUAGAUGCCUUUGUUGGCAAUGGCCACCGUUACAAUCUGCUGCACUCUGCUGUUUUAGAGCUUUUUGAGUAUAUCCGCAAGGAAAACCUGAAAUUAUUGAUCAAGUAUAUAGUUGGUUCAUUUUGGAAUGAGUUGGUCAAAUUUGAGCAUUUGGCUUCCAUUCAGUCUUUUAAAGUUAAAUAUGAGCAGUGCCUAGAGAGUUGUGCAAUAAAAAAUACUGGCAGCACACUGGAUCCACGAAAACGAAAUGAUGAGCGUGCUCUAGAAAAAGAGGAGGAGGAAUACUUCAACGAGAACAGUGAUGAAGAAGAUACAGCAUCCGCAUCACAUGCCAAAAGAGUUCAGCCUCAGUCUGUGCUAUCCAAUGGAGUAUCAGCAGGCUAUCCAUCACUAAGUUCAAGAUCCGGCGGACUGGUUGAUUAUGAUGAUGACGAGGAUGAUGAAGACUAUAGACUACCACCUAAGAAACAGGUGGAAACCUUAGAAGAUGAAGAAGCUAUGGAGCCCCUUAAGUUGAAGCGCAAAUUGACUUCUAGGGAAAAGGAAGCUGAACCAGCAAAGAAGGAGCGAUUAGAUAAACCCUCAAAAUCAAGGGAGAGUGUAUUUGCAUCUUUGUGUCCUACACUGAGCCAGGCAGUGAUACCCGGUAAGAAAGCUGCAAGCUCGGUGCAUAAAACACCUCGCACAACUGACACAAACAAGGGCUUUGGUGAAGACAAUCAUCAAGAGAAGGAAACUGCUAUUUCUAGAAGCUGUUGUGAUAAUAGCAGCAACCCAGGAGAGGAGAACCAUAAGGAGAAGGGGCCUCCUGCUUCUUCUAGAAACUCUUGUGAUUGCUUGCACAACACAACAGAAAACAGACAGUUGGGUGGAGAGGAUGGCCUUUUAAUACCACAAACCUCAUCGCCGGAGAUGGCUGUAAAUGGAUCGUGAAUGAUCUUUCAGAAUCAUGUUAAAAUGGUUUGACAAUGUUUGCUUGGCUGUUCUAUUUGACUCAUGGACGUCACAAAUCAGUCCUGGGCAGCUGAAAGAACAGCGGUACUAGAAAGAAAUGAAUCAGGGGAUGGUGGGUGAAUGCGGAUUAUAGCUUUCAGUUGAUGGUAGGAGAGGAUACUGUAUAGUACCGCCAAGGGUAAUGAGGAAAUAGUCAUAAUAUGGGCCAGCGUACCCCUUCACUAGGUUUUCUGAUGUUGAG
rnacentral:misc_RNA from 1 species